AUACGGAGGAAAAGAAACUAACAAGGAUUCCCCUAGUAACGGCGAGCGAAGCGGGAAGAGCUCAAAUUUGAAAGCUGGCACCUCCGGUGUCCGCGUUGUAAUCUCGAGACGUGUUUUCCGUGCGGCUCUAUGGACAAGUCCCUUGGAAUAGGGCAUCGUAGAGGGUGAGAAUCCCGUACUUGCCAUGGAAGAACCGUGCUUUGCGAUACACGCUCUAAGAGUCGAGUUGUUUGGGAUUGCAGCUCAAAAUGGGUGGUAGACUCCAUCUAAAGCUAAAUAUCGGGGAGAGACCGAUAGCGAACAAGUACCGUGAGGGAAAGAUGAAAAGCACUUUGGAAAGAGAGUUAAAAGUACGUGAAAUUGUCGAAAGGGAAGCACUUGAAGUCAGCCAUGCUGCUUGAGACUCAGCCUGGCCUUUGGGCUUGGUGUAUUUCUCGGUGGCAAGCCAGCAUUGGUUUGGGUCGUCGGAGAAGCGCAUAGGGAAUGUAGCGUUUCCGGACGUGUUAUAGCCUUAUGCAGGAUACGACGACCUGGAUCAAGGAACGCAGUGUGCCCUCUGGGCGGGUCUUCGGACACCUUCACACUUAGGAUGCUGGCGU
rnacentral:rRNA from 1 species